CUGUGGGAAGCUCGGCCCGGCGCGGUUUCAUCCUUCACCCCAAGGGGAGUGGGGAGUGCGGGGCCGGCCCGCUCGCUCGGUGGCCUUUGCUCCUUUCUUCUCAGUCUCAGCUCCUCGUUGCAGCCGCUCGGCUCCCCGGCGCAGGUGCACCUGGCAAGGCCAGUGGGUAGCCGCGCCGCCAGCCGGCUGCCGGGGGCUCCGAGGCAAAGUGCACCCCGCGGUCCCGCCUGCACCCCGAGACCCCGGGACCCGGGGUGCGGGCGCCACCUGGACGGAGCGCUUCGCCCUUCAGGCUUCCGCCCGCAGGUGGCAGCAGCGGGCUCCGGAGCGGGGCUCGGCGCGCGGCUCAGGCGGGCCCCGGGAGCGCCUGCACGACUCCCUCCCGGCGGGCGCGGGCCGCGGAGGCCGAGGGCCGGGGUCGGCUCCGGAGGCUCUGAUUUCUGGCGCGGAAACAGUGGGAAGCAGCCGCGCGGCCGCCCGCGGGGGGUCCCCGAGUCCCCGGCAGCAUCCCCGUGCCCGCCCGGGUCACCCCCCGGGGCUCCCCGAGCGGCCGGGACGGCGCGGCUGCACCCCCGCCCCCUCCCCCCCCCUCCCUCCCGCAGCGGCGCGUCUCUAACCCCCGUCUCCAUCCCGUCUCCGCGGACCCCCGGCUGCGCACACUUCGCGGGCGCCUCGGGCUCGGCGGCGGGAGCGGGACCGGCGCCCCCCGCGCCCCCCGCGCCCCUCCGCGUCCCCCUGCGCCCUCGGCGGCAGCCCGGCCAGAAGUUUCGGUGUCGGGAGCGGCUCCGCGGGCGCGGGGAGGGGCGCGCGGCGGCCCCGGCGUCUCGCAGCGGGAGGGAGCGCGGAGCCCGGGCGCCGAGCGGCGGCGGGAGGGGCGCGGGAGGGGGAGGGGCGGGGAGGGGAGGGGGGAGGGGGAGGGGCGGGGGCGCGCGCUCCUGCCGCCCCCGGAGCCGCCGCCGAGCGCGCGGGGCGAGCGGGCGCGGGGAGCGGCGGGGGCGCCCCUGGGCGGCCAGAUGCCCGUGGGCGCGGCGGCGCUCCGAGGCUGCGGCUGCUGCCCCUGCGGGCCCGGGCGCGGCGCGGCGCGUGCGGCGAGCGGGCGGACGGAGGUGCGGCGGGCGCGGCUGGAGCCGGAGCCGGAGCUGGAGCUGGAGCUGGAGCUGCCGCCGCCGCCGCCGCCGCCGCGCCUGCAGGUCCUAA
rnacentral:lncRNA from 1 species